UACUCCCGAGAGACCGAUAGCGAACCAGUACCGUGAGGGAAAGGUGAAAAGAACCUCGAACAGAGGAGUGCAACAGACCCUGAAACCAUAUGCCUACAAGCGGUCGGAGCGGCUUCGUGCCGUGACGGCGUGCCUUUUGCAUAAUGAACCUACGAGUCACCGUCGUUGGCAAGGUUAAGGACAAGGAUGUCCGGAGCCGAAGCGAAAGCGAGUCCGAAGAGGGCGUCGGAGUCAGCGGAGGUGGACGCGAAACCAAGUGAUCUACCCUUGGGCAGGUUGAAGGACAGGUAAAACUGUCUGGAGGACCGAACCGGUAAGCGUUGAAAAGCUUUCGGAUGACCUGAGGGUAGGAGUGAAAGGCCAAUCAAACUUGGAGAUAGCUCGUACUCCCCGAAAUGUAUUUAGGUGCAGCCUCGGAGAGAAUCUGACGGAGGUAGAGCGACUGAUAGGAUGCGAGGGCUUCACCGCCUAUCAAGUCCUGACAAACUCCGAAUGCCGUCAGACAUAUCCGGGAGUAAGGGCGCGGGUGCUAAGGUCCGCGUCCGAGAGAGGAACAACUCAGACCAUCGGCUAAGGUCCCGAAAUCCGGGCUAAGUUGAAGACAAUAACGAGGUGGGAUUGCAUAGACAGCUAGGAUGUUGGCUUGGAAGCAGCCAUUCAUUUAAAGAGUGCGUAACAGCUCACUAGUCGAGUGAUCCCGCGUGGAUAAUAAUCGGGCAUAAGUCCGGUACCGAAGCCAUGGAAUCACGCCUUGUGCGUGAUUGGUAGGGGAGCAUUCCGUACAGCGACGAAGGUCGGUGGCGAUGCCGGCUGGAGCGUACGGAAAAGCAAAUGUAGGUAUAAGUAACGAUAAUGGAGGCGAGAAACCUCCACGCCGAAAGACCAAGGUUUCCUGAUCAACGCUAAUCGGAUCAGGGUAAGUCGGGACCUAAGGGGCAGCCGCGAGGCGGACCCGAUGGAAGAAACGGUAAAGAUUCCGUUACUGUCGCCGGGAGUGAAGCGGGGACGGAGGAGUGACACCGCCGCGGACUGACGGAAUAGUCCGUUGAAGAGUGUAGGUAUUCGGAGGCCAGGCAAAUCCGGCCUCCGAGCUGAACUUGACAGUACUGCGAGCCUUCGGGCAAGCAGACAGCGCGGGUAAGCAGACUCCCAAGAAAAUCCGCUAAACAUAUGUCGGCGACACCCGUACCGAAACGGACACACGUGGUCGGGUAGAACAUACUAAGGCGCUCGAGAGAUUCACCGUUAAGGAACUAGGCAAAUUGACCUCGUAACUUCGGGAUAAGGGGUCCCACAGCGAUGUGGGCGCAGAGAAUAGGUCCAGGCAACUGUUUAACAAAAACACAGGGCUGUGCGAAAUUUAAAGAUGAAGUAUACAGCCUGACACCUGCCCGGUGCCGGAAGGUUAAGAGGAGAAGUCAUCGCAAGAGAAGCUUUGAAUUGAAGCCCCGGUAAACGGCGGCCGUAACUAUAACGGUCCUAAGGUAGCGAAAUUCCUUGUCGGGU
rnacentral:rRNA from 1 species